rnacentral:rRNA from 1 species
AGUGAACGCUGGCGGUAGGCCUAACACAUGCAAGUCGAACGGCAGCACAGUAAGAGCUUGCUCUUACGGGUGGCGAGUGGCGGACGGGUGAGGAAUACAUCGGAAUCUACUUUUUCGUGGGGGAUAACGUAGGGAAACUUACGCUAAUACCGCAUACGACCUACGGGUGAAAGCAGGGGAUCUUCGGACCUUGCGCGAUUGAAUGAGCCGAUGUCGGAUUAGCUAGUUGGCGGGGUAAAGGCCCACCAAGGCGACGACCGUAGCUGGUCUGAGAGGAUGAUCAGCCACACUGGAACUGAGACACGGUCCAGACUCCUACGGGAGGCAGCAGUGGGGAAUAUUGGACAAUGGGCGCAAGCCUGAUCCAGCCAUACCGCGUGGGUGAAGAAGGCCUUCGGGUUGUAAAGUCCUUUUGUUGGGAAAGAAAAGCAGCAGGUUAAUACCCCGCUGUUCUGACGGUACCCAAAGAAUAAGCACCGGCUAACUUCGUG